AGCCCUGUCAUGGACUGCAUUAAUAUCACAAGUAUGCUGGAGCUGAGCAUGAGGGUAUCCAUCCAGCUGUACUGUAAAGCCAUUGCUGCAGUGCUCCUAGAAAUGGUUCAGGAUACCUAGAGACAAAUGAUAUGGAAAAAGGCCUCCAUGACAGGUCCCUACUGGCACUGACUGUACAAGCAGGAGGACACCUAGGCAGAAGGCAAGGACAGAGCUCCAUCCUCCCUGCACUUCCAGCGUGAGCCCUGUCCUGGGACCCAGAGAGCUUUGGGAACAGAGCCCCCGGCUUCUGAAGACGUCUCCUUCUUCCUCCCUCCCUCCCAGGAGUUGCUCUCCAGUCACCUCUGCAAGCCUGUGUAUUACCUAUGUUUCUGAAAGGAAGAGUUGACAGAGUAUUUAAUUUUGAAUUUUGAAAAAAACAAAUUGUUUCACUUAAAAUCUGAUUGCCCUGCCCCUCAUUGCCCCCCUGCAAUUUCCCU